rnacentral:rRNA from 1 species
AACACAUGCAAGUCGAACGGUUUCCAUCGUGAGAUAGUGGCGGACGGGUGAGUAACACGUAGUUGACCUGCCCCCUUGUGGGGAAUAACUCCUCGAAAGAGGAGCUAAUACCGCAUAAGUUCUUCUAUACAGGUAGAAGAGGAAAGCCGUAAGGCGCCGAGGGAGGGGACUGCGGCGGAUUAGCUAGAUGGUGGGGUAAUGGCCUACCAUGGCGACGAUCCGUAGCUGGUCUGAGAGGACGACCAGCCACACUGGGACUGAGACACGGCCCAGACUCCUACGGGAGGCAGCAGUGAGGAAUAUUCCACAAUGGGCGAAAGCCUGAUGGAGCGACGCCGCGUGAAGGAAGAAGCCCUUUGGGGUGUAAACUUCUUUUUUGGGGGAUGAAACNNNUGGGGGUAACCCUACUAAGACAGUACCCCAAGAAUAAGCAU